UCAUUCCUAUUCUGAAUACCCACAAUUCCACUUGCAAAUGUUGAAUGAUGGCCCAUGGACAUAACCCAUAUACAAAAAGUUUAAUGUGACUGCUUGGUACCCAUUACCCAUUAGUAUUGUCAAUUUCUAAUCUGAACUAUUGAAACUGAUGAGUUUUACAUGAUUCAGGGAACCGAACCGGUUUAAUCGAUGAGAUGGGAACCUUGAAUAUCGACCUCUAUCGAUUAUAUUAAACUCGAAAUGAACUAAUCCGUAAAAGAUUCAUACCCCUAUCAAACUGAUCUAACCCGUAAAAGAUUCAUACCCCUAUCAAACUGACCAAUGACAACCAGAACCAUAAUCUCUAUUAUAUAAAGGAACAGCUGAGGGCUUAAUGGUAAUAACACUUUUCGUGUCCCCCAUCAAAAUGUCUAAAAUAGCCCUCCACUCUUUCCUCUCAAACCCUUCGCAGACUCGCAAUUCACUCUACUCCUUCCUCCGCCGCUUCAUGGUCUCAUAUCAUGUAGUUCUCUCUCCUUUAAGAAAAGUAAAGAAUCAUGUAGUUCUCUCUCCACUAAGAAAAGUAAAGAUUUUUAAUCAUUCACCUCUGAUUCUAUGCAACUCUCAAACCGUUCGCAAACCCUAGAAAUCCAUACUCUAAAAAUUAACAGAUUGUUACCCCUUACACUGAAGAACCACCAACUUCGAAGAUCUGGAUUAUUCAUCUUCUUCAUCGCCCAUGCUCCGACAAUUCUGAUUCGCGAGAUGUGGUCGGAAAAUCUCCCGGAUGUUCGACGCCUCUGUUGUCACCACGUCUACAAAAAGUUGCUACAUCCACAACCGAUUCAGUGGUGGUACCUGCAGAGGUUCCUGCUGUGGAGAAACAACGGUGAGUCCUAAACGAUUUCGAUAUCGGAAAACCUUUUGGUCGAGGAAAGUUUGGCCAUGUCUACUUGGCUGGAGAGAAGAGAGUAUGCCAUUUAACUUUUUCUUAUUUUUGUGUUACUAUUUGUUCAAUUGGGGAAUUUAAUUGGAUUUUUUAUCUGGUGACGUCGUUGGAACAAUAAAUAAUCUUAAAAUUUUAGGCUAAUGUUACUUAUUUUAGAAACAUGGAUGAUCAGAUAAACGGUCUUGCAAAGCAAAUAAAACAAAUGUAUCGCCCAAGCCCAACUCCAAAGUUGAACCAGAGGAUCAUUUCAUCGAUGUCAAGGAGAUCGUUGCUGCCCAGACUUGGCAUGAUCUCGGGAUUGGUACACAUCCCAAAAUGUUUUCCCCCUUUUCUUCCAAAUUCUGUCUAAUUUCUUCGAAUGUUAUUAAGCGGUUCUUAUUCUGUGAUACUACACAUGCGUGAACAUGUGAAGCGCAUGAGAGCUAAGAAAGAAGUUGUUGGGGGUCCAAGCAACCUGAUUUAAGUGAACUUUUUAGACAUUUCUCCUGGAUGGAAGGUAAUGUCAUGUAGACUAAAAUCUUAUUCAUCUUUGGAGAUUUAUGUAUGUUAGUUUGUUGCGUUUUGCUAAUUCUCUGGAUGUUGUGCCUUUUUAUUGGUGUGGAUUGGUUUACUAUGGACUAUAAUUAGCAAGUGAUAAAAGUUUAUUAGUCUAUGAAUUUUGAUUUUGGUUUAUUUUGUGAGUUUAGUUUGGUUCAAAAUCGGAAGGUAGCAGUAGCUAUGGGGUCCUGAAUCUUCCAAGGCUGGAAAAGGCGGGUCCUUAUGAAUGGCUUAGUUAUAAAGAGGCGUAUGAUUCAACGCUUCCAAAUCGGCUCAGCUAUUAGGAAAUGUGGAGUUAAUCCCGUAUUUCCAGCCAAGUAGAUUGUGCUAUCAAGAUACUCAAACUAAAGAUUAAGUUGGAUUCCGUAGUUUGUAUAAUAAAAGAUCGUAAAGAGCUGGAGAAAUAUGUUUAGUUACUUUGGUACUAAGAUUUUGAUUUUUAAUCAUGU